AUCUUAUCUCUAACGGGCGACUCCAAGAAACUAGCCGUUACACCCGGACUAGCCGUUGCGAUCGUUACGUCACAGAUGUGACAAUCCCUGCAGAUCAUGAUUAUAAAUAGGAGAUAGGGUGAGGAUCAGUUUGUAUUUAAAUUCAAGAUACACUCCCUUUAUAUUCUGCACCGAAGAUUGAUCAGGUAUUCUUCUAUUUCUCUCUUUUUUCUCUUUGCUCUGUUUUCUGCUCCUACUCUGUUUCCGUCCCGUCACAAAUAUGUUGCUCCGGAAUUCUCCACACAAGGAUUCCAAGAAGGAUAGUCCCUUAAAAACCAGGGGAUUAUCAAGGAUUCUCCUACGGAGAGGUGUUGCUUUACUGAUGCUCACGUAGACAAAAUUCGUCAUUGCUUUCCGGCGAAUGCCGUUUUUAAAUCCUUUGAUCCUACUGCUUUGAGCGACUUUGUCUCGGAUGUCUGGGUGGCUUUUCCUGCUACCCCGUUUGCUAUAGGGUACUCGUAUCCUUUUCUAGACUUUACCCAGUCUUUCUUUUCCUUAACCGGCAUCUCUUACAUCCAAGCUAUGCCGAUGAUCUGGAGGGUUCUUUAUACCUUCGAGAGGAUCAUUGAGCAGAAAGGGAUUGAUCUGGGGAUGACGGAGUUGGCCGAGCUUUACGAUUUUACCACUUUUGGUUCUUACCGGUAUCUGCUGAAACGGAAAGCCGGGGAGGAUCAUCCUGU
rnacentral:lncRNA from 1 species